CCUACGGGUGGCUGCAGUGAGGAAUAUUGGGCAAUGCCCGCAAGGGUGACCCAGCAACGCCGCGUGGAGGAUGAAGGCCGUAAGGUUGUAAACUCCUGUUAGAGGAGAAGAAUAGUACCGAUUGGAUCGGUAUUUGACUGUACCCUCAGAGAAAGCCCCGGCUAACUACGUGCCAGCAGCCGCGGUAAUACGUAGGGGGCAGGAGUUGUCCGGUGUUACUGGGGCGAAGGGGCGCGCAGAAGGCAGAGGUGAAAUCCUACAGCUUAACUGUAGAACUGCCUUUGAUACUGUUAUUCUUGAGGUCGGGAGAGGGAGACGGAAUUCCAGGUGUAGUGGUGAAAUACGUAGAUAUCUGGAAGAACACCAGUGGCGAAGGCGGUCUCUUGGUCCGAUACUGACGCUGAGGCGCGAAAGCGUGGGGAGCAAACAGGAUUAGAUACCCGAGUAGUC
rnacentral:rRNA from 1 species